GCUAACACUAGCCCCAAACACAACCAAUACUAAUACCAAACCAAUAUAUAUAUAUAUUAAAUCAUUCACCCAUAUAAAGUAUAGGCGAUAGAAAUUUUAACCUGGCGCUAUAGAUGUAGUACCGUAAGGGAAAGACAAAACCACUCAAGCACAAAACAGCAAGGACUGACCCCUGUACCUUUCGCAUAAUGAGUUAGCUAGAAAUAAUUUCACAAAGAGAACUACAAGCCAAAUUCCCCCGAAACCAGACGAGCUACCCAAAAACAGCUGAAAGAGCGCACCCGUCUAUGUGACAAAAUAGUGGGAAGAUUUCUGGGUAGAGGUGAUAAGCCUAUCGAGCCUGGUGAUAGCUGGUUAUCCAAGACAGAAUCUCAGUUCAACCUUAAGCUUACCUACAGAACCAAUUAAUCCCCCUGUAAGCUUAAUCGUUAGUCUAAAGAGGGACAGCUCUUUAGACAUUAGGAAAAAACCUUGUAGAGAGAGUAAAAACCCCAAUUACCAUAGUUGGCCUAAAAGCAGCCAUCAAUUAAGAAAGCGUUCAAGCUCAACAUCAAUUACCUAAAAAAUCCCAAAAAGCACAACUGAACUCCUCACACCACAUUGGAUUAAUCUAUCACCCUAUAGAAGCAAUAAUGCUAGCAUAAGUAACAUGACUAUCUUCUCCACUGCAUAAGCCUAAAUCAGAUCAGAAACCUCACAGAUACUUAACAGCCCGGCAUAGCAAAUAUAGACAAGUCCAUGCUACCCCUACUGUUAAUCCAACACAGGCAUGCUCUUAAGGAAAGGUUACAAAAAGUAAAAGGAACUCGGCAAACUCAAACCCCGCCUGUUUACCAAAAACAUCACCUCUAGCAUUACCAGUAUUAGAGGCACUGCCUGCCCGGUGACACACGUUUAACGGCCGCGGUACUCUGACCGUGCAAAGGUAGCAUAAUCACUUGUUCUUUAAAUAGGGACUUGCAUGAAUGGCAUCACGAGGGUUUAACUGUCUCUUACUUUUAACCGGUGAAAUUGACCUAUCCGUGAAGAGACGGAUAUGAUACAAUAAGACGAGAAGACCCUAUGGAGCUUUAAUUUAUUAAUGCAACUAAAAACUACACAAACCUACAGGCCCCUAAACUACUACACCUGCAUUAAAAAUUUUGGUUGGGGUGACCUCGGAGCACAGCCAAACCUCCGAAUAAUUCAUGCUAAGACUAUACAAGUCAAAGCGAACUAAUAUUUACAACUGACCCAAUAACUUGAUCAACGGAACAAGUUACCCUAGGGAUAACAGCGCAAUUCUAUUCUAGAGUCCAUAUCGACAAUAGAGUUUACGACCUCGAUGUUGGAUCAGGACAUCCUAAUGGUGCAGCAGCUAUCAAGGGUUCGUUUGUUCAACGAUUAAAGUCCUACGUGAUCUGAGUUCAGACCGGAGUGAUCCAGGUCGGUUUCUAUCUAUUUUACAUUUCUCCCUGUACGAAAGGACAAGAGAAAUAAGGCCCACUUCACACAAGCGCCUUCAUUACAUAAAUGACCUAAUCUCAAUUUAGUAAAAUAUCACACACCCUACCCAAGACCAGGGUUU
rnacentral:rRNA from 1 species